CAGCGAGUUUUUACGAAAACCAAAACAAUAUUUUCAAAGAAACUUGUAAUUGCACCCGAAGAAUCAGUGAGAGUCGAAUAAGAAAAAGCACCAGAUAAAUAAAUCAAGCUUCCAAGGAAAAGUAAUAAAUAAUAUCAGCUGAUUGAAAAUUAUCGAGAAAAGGUUGUGCGAUUGUAAUACAACACCUAACCGUACUAUUUCAAUAUCUCGAGUGAAAAUGCCGUCCACAAAAAACAAUAGAAAGGAGAAAGAGCCAAAGUUCAACAGUAGAAAAAUGAAAGAAAAACAU